rnacentral:rRNA from 1 species
UACGUAGGGUGCGAGCGUUGUCCGGAAUUAUUGGGCGUAAAGAGCUCGUAGGCGGUGUGUCGCGUCGGCCGUGAAAACCUGGGGCUCAACUCUGGGCGUGCGGUCGAUACGGGCAUCACUUGAGUUCGGCAGGGGAGACUGGAAUUCCUGGUGUAGCGGUGGAAUGCGCAGAUAUCAGGAGGAACACCGGUGGCGAAGGCGGGUCUCUGGGCCAUUACUGACGCUGAGGAGCGAAAGCGUGGGGAGCGAACAGG